rnacentral:rRNA from 1 species
ACUCCUACGGGAGGCAGCAGUGGGGAAUAUUGCACAAUGGGCGCAAGCCUGAUGCAGCAACGCCGCGUGAGUGAUGAAGGCCUUCGGGUCGUAAAGCUCUGUCCUCAAGGAAGAAUAAAUGACGGUACUUGAGGAGGAAGCCCCGGCUAACUACGUGCCAGCAGCCGCGGUAAUACGUAGGGGGCAAGCGUUAUCCGGAAUCACUGGGCGUAAAGGGUGCGUAGGCGGUUUUUCAAGUCAGAAGUGAAAGGCUAUGGCUCAACCAUAGUAAGCUUUUGAAACUGUUAAACUUGAGUGCAGGAGAGGAAAGUGGAAUUCCUAGUGUAGAGGUGAAAUUCGUAGAUAUUAGGAGGAACACCAGUGGCGAAGGCGACUUUCUGGACUGUAACUGACGCUGAGGCACGAAAGCGUGGGGAGCGAACAGGAUUAGAUACCCUGUAGCACAGAG